rnacentral:rRNA from 1 species
GGCCGCGAAUUCGCCCUUAGGGUUUGAUUAUGGCUCAGGAUGAACGCUGGCGGCGUGCUUAACACAUGCAAGUCGAGCGAAGCACUUGACUUAGAAUUCUUCGGAAGGAAAAGUUUUGUGACUUAGCGGCGGACGGGUGAGUAACGCGUGGGUAACCUGCCUCAUACAGGGGGAUAACAGUUAGAAAUGACUGCUAAUACCGCAUAAAACUCCAGUAUCGCAUGAUACAGAAGUCAAAACGUUAGUGGUAUGAGAUGGACCCGCGUCUGAUUAGCUAGUUGGUAAGGUAAUGGCUUACCAAGGCGACGAUCAGUAGCCGGCCUGAGAGGGUGACCGGCCACAUUGGGACUGAGACACGGCCCAAACUCCUACGGGAGGCAGCAGUGGGGAAUAUUGCACAAUGGGGGAAACCCUGAUGCGGCGACGCCGCGUGAAGGAAGACGUAUUUCGGUAUGUAAACUUCUAUCA